rnacentral:rRNA from 1 species
UACGAAGGGGGCUAGCGUUGUUCGGAAUGACUGGGCGUAAAGCGCACGUAGGCGGAUUGGUCAGUUGGGGGUGAAAUCCCGGGGCUCAACCUCGGAACUGCCUUCAAUACUGCCGAUCUUGAGUUCGGGAGAGGUGAGUGGAAUUCCUAGUGUAGAGGUGAAAUUCGUAGAUAUUAGGAAGAACACCAGUGGCGAAGGCGGCUCACUGGCCCGAUACUGACGCUGAGGUGAGAAAGCGUGGGGAGCAAACAGG